UUCAGGUUCUGGAUUACUCUCAACUGUUGACGUUCUUUAUAAUUUAUUGUGAAACAUAGUCAAUGUCAACACUAUAGUCAAAAACAUUACACGAGAACAGUCUCUUUCUUUCAAGGAAGGAAGAAGACCACCAGAGGACCGCAGUGGAUCUCUCCACCAUUGAAAUAUCUUUGAAAUCUGGGGAAAACGGCAAAGGAUCCAGGCAGAAGAACUGACGUGGACCACAGCAGAUUUCCAGAGGACUUCACUGAGGAUGCAACAGCCUGACAGACAAUGAGCUAUCAAGAGAGGAUGACGACAGAUCCUGGAAGAAGACCCAACAAGACCCCCACAGGACCAGAGUAGAAUUCUCUUCACUAUCGACUGCAAUCCAGCUGAAAAUAAGGGAGGAGCAUUUCAUUAUUUGGUUUUAACUUACAGAAUUUUAUUUUUUAAGUUGAUGAUCAAAUAUUUACUCAAUGCUGUGAAACAUGUAACUGACUUAUAUCUUUUAUCAAUAUCUUUAAAAUCUGGGUAAAAUAAGGGAAAGAUUAAGAUCCAGGCAGAACACCUCAAGAGGACCCCGGCAGAUUUCCAGAGCACUCCACUGAGGAUGCAACAACCCUGCAGACAAUGACAAUACAGAGAGGAUGACUGCAGAUCCAGGAAGGAACCUCCACGGAACCUCAGCUGAAGACAGCAACAACUGAGCAGAGGCC